rnacentral:rRNA from 1 species
GAUGAACGCUGGCGGCGUGCUUAACACAUGCAAGUCGAACGGAAAGGCCCAAGCUUGCUUGGGUACUCGAGUGGCGAACGGGUGAGUAACACGUGGGUGAUCUGCCCUGCACUUCGGGAUAAGCCUGGGAAACUGGGUCUAAUACCGGAUAGGACCACUUCUUGGAUGUUGUGGUGGAGAGUUUUGUCGGUGUGGGAUGAGCUCGCGGCCUAUCAGCUUGUUGGUGGGGUAAUGGCCUACCAACGCGUCGACGGGUAGCCGGACUGUGAGGGUGUACGGCGGCAUUGGGACUGAGAGGCGGCCCAGACUCCGACGGGAGGCAGCAGUGGGGAAUAUUGCACGAUGGGCGCAGGCCUGAUGCAGAGAGGCCGCGUGGGGGAUGACGGCCUUCGGGUUGUAGACUCCUUUCGCUAGGGACGAAGCGUUUUGUGACGGUACCUGGAGAAGAAGCACCGGCUAACUACGUG